GGUCCGCCUGCCCCUGUGACUAUUAGUUUAACGGCCGCGGUAUUUUGACCGUGCGAAGGUAGCGCAAUCACUUGUCUUUUAAAUGGAGACCUGUAUGAAUGGCACAACGAGGGCUUAACUGUCUCCUCUUUUAAGUCAAUGAAAUUGAUCUUCCCGUGCAGAAGCGGGAAUAUAAACAUAAGACGAGAAGACCCUAUGGAGCUUUAGACACCAAGGCAGACCAUGUUAAAUAACCCCUGACAAGGAGCUAAACCAAAUGCGUCCUGCCCUAAUGUCUUUGGUUGGGGCGACCGCGGGGCAACAAAAACCCCCACGUGGAAUGGGAAUACCCCUCCUACAACUAAGAGCUGCAGCUCUAGUCAACAGAAUUUCUGACCAAUAAGAUCCGGCAAUGCCGAUCAACGAACCGAGUUACCCUAGGGAUAACAGCGCAAUCCCCUUUUAGAGCCCAUAUCGACAAGGGGGUUUACGACCUCGAUGUUGGAUCAGACAUCCUAAUGUGCAGCCGCUAUAA
rnacentral:rRNA from 1 species